rnacentral:rRNA from 1 species
UACGAGAGGCCCAAACGUUAUUCGGAUUUACUGGGCUUAAAGAGUUCGUAGGUGGUCCGUCAAGUGAGGUGUGAAAGCCCUCGGCUCAACCGAGGAAUUGCGCUUCAAACUGUCGGGCUCGAGGGAGAUAGAGGUGAGCGGAACUGAUGGUGGAGCGGUGAAAUGCGUUGAUAUCAUCAGGAACACCAGAGGCGAAGGCGGCUCACUGGGUCUCUUCUGACGCUGAGGAACGAAAGCUAGGGGAGCAAACGGG